rnacentral:rRNA from 1 species
AGAUUGAACGCUGGCGGCAUGCCUUACACAUGCAAGUCGAACGGCAGCAUGACGUGUAGCAAUACACGUUGAUGGCGAGUGGCGAACGGGUGAGUAAUAUAUCGGAACGUGUCCUGUAGCGGGGGAUAACCUAUCGAAAGAUGGACUAAUACCGCAUACGCUCUACGGAGGAAAGCGGGGGUCGCAAGACCUCGCACUAUAGGAGCGGCCGAUAUCGGAUUAGCUAGUUGGCGGGGUAAAAGCCCACCAAGGCGACGAUCCGUAGCUGGUCUGAGAGGAUGAUCAGCCACACUGGAACUGAGACACGGUCCAGACUCCGUACGGGAGCGAGCAGUGGGGAAUUUGGACAAGUGGCGCAAGCCUGAUCCAGCCAUGCCGCGUGACGUGAAGAAGGUCCGUUACGGUUGUAACGCUUCGUUUCGGCGAGGAACCGAAAUGGUUACGUAGUUAA